AUUUAUAUAGUUUAAUAAAAACCUUACAUUUUCAAUGUAAAAUUAAAAUUAUUUUUUAUAAAUA
rnacentral:tRNA from 1 species